CCUACGGGGGCAGCAGUGGGGAAUAUUGGACAAUGGGCGAAAGCCUGAUCCAGCCAUGCCGCGUGUGUGAAGAAGGCCUUCGGGUUGUAAAGCACUUUCAGUGGGGAAGAAAGCCUUGGGGCUAAUACCCUCGAGGAAGGACAUCACCCACAGAAGAAGCACCGGCUAACUCCGUGCCAGCAGCCGCGGUAAUACGGAGGGUGCGAGCGUUAAUCGGAUUUACUGGGCGUAAAGCGCGCGUAGGCGGUCUGAUAAGCCGGUUGUGAAAGCCCCGGGCUCAACCUGGGAACGGCAUCCGGAACUGUCAGGCUAGAGUGCAGGAGAGGAAGGUAGAAUUCCCGGUGUAGCGGUGAAAUGCGUAGAGAUCGGGAGGAAUACCAGUGGCGAAGGCGGCCUUCUGGACUGACACUGACGCUGAGGUGCGAAAGCGUGGGUAGCAAACAGGAUUAGAUACCCGUGUAGUC
rnacentral:rRNA from 1 species